rnacentral:rRNA from 1 species
UACGUAGGGGGCAAGCGUUGUCCGGAUUUAUUGGGCGUAAAGAGCGUGUAGGCGGUUUGGUAGGUCCGCUGUGAAAACUCGAGGCUCAACCUCGAGACGCCGGUGGAAACCAUCAGACUAGAGUCCGGAAGAGGAGAGUGGAAUUCCUGGUGUAGCGGUGAAAUGCGCAGAUAUCGGGAAGAACACCCGUGGCGAAGGCGGCGCUCUGGGACGGUACUGACGCUGAGGAGCGAAAGCAUGGGGAGCGAACAGG